rnacentral:rRNA from 1 species
UACCAGCACCCCGAGUGGUCGGGACGUUUAUUGGGCGUAAAGAGCUCGUAGGCGGUUCGCCAAGUCGACUGUGAAAUCUCCACGCUCAACGUGGAGGGGUCAGUCGAUACUGGCGUGACUCGAGUCCGGUGGGGGAGUGUGGAAUUCCCGGUGUAGCGGUGAAAUGCGCAGAGAUCGGGAGGAACACCCGUAGCGAAGGCGGCACUCUGGGCCGGUACUGACGCUGAGGAGCGAAAGCGUGGGGAGCAAACAGG